rnacentral:tRNA from 1 species
UGGGAUAUAGCUGAGUAGCCAAAGUGCUUGCCUAGCAAGUACAAUCUCUUGGGUUUGAUUCCCAGUAUCAAAA